AUUGAACGCUGGCGGCAGGCCUAACACAUGCAAGUCGAGCGGAUGAGUGGAGCUUGCUCCAUGAUUCAGCGGCGGACGGGUGAGUAAUGCCUAGGAAUCUGCCUGGUAGUGGGGGACAACGUUUCGAAAGGAACGCUAAUACCGCAUACGUCCUACGGGAGAAAGUGGGGGAUCUUCGGACCUCACGCUAUCAGAUGAGCCUAGGUCGGAUUAGCUAGUUGGUGAGGUAAAGGCUCACCAAGGCGACGAUCCGUAACUGGUUUGAGAGGAUGAUCAGCCACACUGGAACGGAGACACGGUCCAGACGCCUACGGGAGGCAGCAGUGGGGAAUAUUGGACAAUGGGCGAAAGCCUGAUCCAGCCAUGCCGCGUGUGUGAAGAAGGUCUUCGGAUUGUAAAGCACUUUAAGUUGGGAGGAAGGGCAGUAAGUUAAUACCUUGCUGUUUUGGCGUUACCAACAGAAUAAGCACCGGCUAACUUCGUGCCAGCCGCCGCCGUAAAAC
rnacentral:rRNA from 1 species